GAUGAACGCUGGCGGCGUGCCUAAUACAUGCAAGUCGAGCGGACGGACGCUACUCUUGCUUCUCUGAUGUUAGCGGCGGACGGGUGAGUCACACGUGGAUAACCUCCCUAUCAGUCUGGGAUCACUUCGAGAAACCGGCGCUAAUACCGGAUGAUAUUUUGAUCCGCAUGGUUCAAAAGUGAAAGACGGUCUUUCUGUCACUUAUAGAUGGAUCCGCGCUGCAUUAGCUGGUUGGUAAGGUAACGGCUUACCACGGCGACGAUGCAUAGCCGACCUGAGAGGGGGAUAGGCCACAUGGGAAGGGAAACACGGUCCAGAGGCCUAAGGGAGGCAGCAGUAGGGAAUCGUACGCAAUGGGCGAAAGCAUGACGGAGCAACGGCGCGUGAGAGAUGAAGGUGUUCGGAUCGGAAAAAUGUGUUAUGAGGGAAGAACAGAUGUGGAAGUAACUGAGCAGAGAGUGACGGUACCGAGUCAAAAAGCAACGGCUAACUACGUG
rnacentral:rRNA from 1 species